ACAAUGGUGUUUUCGUCAAGUGGUGCUUUAUUUGCAAACAAUGCAGGAUUUAAUUAAGAUUAAAUAUUCAAAGUUAAACAACACAAGAUUGUGAUACAAUGCUUGAAUUAUUCGACAGACGUGCUGCGCGCAGCCAUCUUGAAACCUUGAUUAAUCUCACAGCCGUUGGCGAGAUAUACUACCCAACUAUACCCAAGAUAAGAACGUAUAAGAACUCGUAAAGUGCGAUUGAUAUUCCAGGCGCGAAUAACACGCCCCAUGCCAGUUAAAUAACAAAUAGACACAAUAGACGCAUUAUAAAUACAUAAACAAAUGAAUAUGCAGAAUAAAAUUCGGCAUGUAAUUAAACAAACUUUAUUUUUUCGAUUUUUAACUUGUCAAUUCAUGAAAUGCACUUAUAAUUAAUGUUUGCACUUAAAAAUACAGAACUGAACUUAAAAAUAAAUAUUUGCACUUUGAAAAAUGAA